rnacentral:rRNA from 1 species
CCUACGGGUGACAGCAGUGGGGAAUAUUGGGCAAUGGGCGCAAGCCUGACCCAGCAACGCCGCGUGAAGGAAGAAGGCUUUCGGGGUGUAAAAUUCUUUUAAGAGGGGAGAGCAGAAGACGGUACCUCUUGAAUAAGCCACGGCUAACUACGUGCGAGCAGCCGCGGUAAUACGUAGGUGGCAGGCGUUGUCCGGAUUUAAUGGGUGUAAAGGGCGUGCAGCCGGGAAGACAAGUCAGAGGUGAAAUCCCGCGGCUCAACCGCGGAAUUGCAUUUGAAACUGUUUUUCUUGAGUACCGGAGAGGUCAUCGGAAUUCCUUGUGUAGCGGUGAAAUGCUUAGAUAUAAGGCAGAACACCAGUGGCGAAGGCGGAUGACUGGACGGCAACUGACGGUGAGGCGCGAAAGCGUGGGGAGCAAACAGGAUUAGAUACCCGUGUAGUC